AAAGAUACGCGAUUCUGACAAUCUGUUGGAAACGUUUACGGCUAGAGCACGUUCGGUACGGAAUGAACCAUUUCUAGGUCGUAAAGGAUGAUCAACGACGUGAGAGUCAUCGCCACCGUCUUGCCACGAUGAUACGCGUAACUAACACUUGCUACUUGUAGGCCGCUGUCGUAACGUCGAACCGCGCACACGCCGCACGGGCAUUAUGCUACAAAGAUCACCAACUAUGGAAGUGGUGGGACACGAUUCCAUGGCACCGAAUGGUGCGACGGCGUGGCGCUAUCUGGAGUGACGUAUGAAUACUCGUUAAUCGAAUUGUUCAAUUGCUGAGCAGGUAAAAAGUGAGCAAGUUAUCGAUAGAUCGAAUUAAUAGACGAUUUCGCGUAGUGACGCACCCUUUGAAUUACUUUGAACAUUAUGCUCAAAAUUUUGUCAACUCAUUCAAAAUGUAUUAAGACUCGAGGUUCACAACUGGUCGAGACUUUCAAUAACUUUAAGUCUCGAAUCAUGUUCGAAAUGAUUCAAAUUUUCAAAGAAUUUAAAAAAUUUCGAGUCACUUCAAAAUGAAGAAUCAAACAGUUAUCAGACACGUGACUGUCAAACGAAACGGAGAAAGAAAAAUGAUACAGAGACUGAAUAAUAUAAAACAUCUUUGUUUUUUUUUGGCAUAUUACUAAAAGCUGCAGGUACUUCCUUGGAGUUGCAAUUUCUGUCUGAAUGUGUGUAUCUUAUGAUGUAUGAAUGAUAACUAUAUUUUUAAUCUUAACUGUAUUUUAAUCGGCACUUUCUCCUGGGCAGAAAUAACUACGUAUUAAGUCUGAUUUGAAUGCGAACGAGAUCUUUGUGUAUAUUGAAUAAAAUUGGGAAAUGGGAAAUAGGGAAAUAUCGAAAGCUACACAUUGACAAAAUUGAAACAUGGGGAAACCAUAUAAAUAAAAUCCUAAUAUAAAAUACAAUAAGUGUAUCGAAAUCCACGUUUCCUUAGAUAAAAAUAUAACCAGAGUUUCUGUUUCAUGUACAAGAAAGAACAUACUAUAAGAAUGUCAAAAGGUGCGUCUCAACUGGUAUUCGUAAACAAUUCGCAAAUAGUAUACGAAUUGUUCUGUUGUCUAUCUCGUACUAUACUGUUUCUGAUCUAUUCGCAGAAGUACACACUUCCGACGAUUCAUGAUGUAUAAACAUAAGCUAAUAAUAUUUACAUAUUUAUAAUUUUCUAUAAAUUUUAGUUAAUCUUAUUGUUUAAAAUUUUUUAUCUGUAAUGACUAGCAAUUGCACAACGAGCAAUCAACGAAUUGGUAUAAAUUAAUUGUAAUAAAGUAUUUAAAUAAAUGUUCGGGAACUAUUCGUGAA